UACGUAGGUGGCGAGCGUUGUCCGGAUUUACUGGGCGUAAAGCGCGCGUAGGUGGCCUGCCAAGUCUGGGGUGAAAUCUCUCGGCUUAACCGGGAGGGGUCUUCAGAUACUGGUGGGCUUGAGGGCAGCAGAGGUCGGUGGAAUUCCCGGUGGAGUGGUGAAAUGCGUAGAUAUCGGGAGGAACACCAGUGGCGAAGGCGGCCGACUGGGCUGUCCCUGACACUGAGGUGCGAAAGCGUGGGGAGCGAACCGG
rnacentral:rRNA from 1 species